GGAUGUGAGGGCGAUCUGGCUGCUACAUCUGUCACCCCAUUGAUCGUCAAGGUUGAUUCGGCUGAUCAGGCUGGUUAGGCGGGUGUCUCCUUCCUCCCUCACCGCUCCAUGUGCUUCCCUCCCAAAGCUGCGCGCUGGGUCGAAGAGGACGACCAUCCCCGAUAGAGGAGGACCGUUCUUUGGUCAAGGGUAUACGAGUAGCUGUGCUCCCCUGCUAGAACCUCCAAACAAGCUCUCAAACACUAGAAAGUAGUUAUAAAAUCAAGAUAAAGUGAAGAAAAGGAUAACGAGUU
rnacentral:snRNA from 1 species